GUAGAAGAAGAAAUCCAGACUCUGUCUCAAGUGUUAGCAGCAAAAGAGAAGCAUCUAGCAGAGAUCAAGCGGAAACUUGGAAUCAAUUCUCUACAGGAACUAAAACAGAACAUUGCCAAAGGGUGGCAAGACGUGACAGCAACAUCUGCUUACAAGAAGACAUCUGAAACCUUGUCCCAGGCUGGACAGAAGGCCUCAGCUGCUUUUUCGUCUGUUGGCUCAGUCAUCACCAAAAAGCUGGAAGACGUAAAAAACUCCCCAACUUUUAAAUCAUUUGAAGAAAAGGUCGAAAACUUAAAGUCUAAAGUAGGGGGAACCAAGCCUGCUGGUGGUG
rnacentral:sRNA from 1 species